GGCUCAGGAUGAACGCUAGCGACAGGCUUAACACAUGCAAGUCGAGGGGCAGCRSRGGUAGCAAUACCSGSYGGCGACCGGCGCACGGGUGAGUAACGCGUAUGCAACUUACCUAUCAGAGGGGGAUAACCCGGCGAAAGUCGGACUAAUACCGCAUGAAGCAGGGGCCCCGCAUGGGGAUAUUUGCUAAAGAUUCAUCGCUGAUAGAUAGGCAUGCGUUCCAUUAGGCAGUUGGCGGGGUAACGGCCCACCAAACCGACGAUGGAUAGGGGUUCUGAGAGGAAGGUCCCCCACAUUGGUACUGAGACACGGACCAAACUCCUACGGGAGGCAGCAGUGAGGAAUAUUGGUCAAUGGCCGAGAGGCUGAACCAGCCAAGUCGCGUGAGGGAUGAAGGUUCUAUGGAUCGUAAACCUCUUUUAUAAGGGAAUAAAGUGCGGGACGUGUCCCGUUUUGUAUGUACCUUAUGAAUAAGGAUCGGCUAACUCCGUGCCAGCAGCCGCGGUAAUACGGAGGAUCCGAGCGUUAUCCGGAUUUAUUGGGUUUAAAGGGUGCGUAGGCGGCCUUUUAAGUCAGCGGUGAAAGUCUGUGGCUCAACCAUAGAAUUGCCGUUGAAACUGGGGGGCUUGAGUAUGUUUGAGGCAGGCGGAAUGCGUGGUGUAGCGGUGAAAUGCAUAGAUAUCACGCAGAACCCCGAUUGCGAAGGCAGCCUGCCAAGCCAUGACUGACGCUGAUGCACGAAAGCGUGGGGAUCAAACAGGAUUAGAUACCCUGGUAGUCCACGCAGUAAACGAUGAUCACUAGCUGUUUGCGAUACACWGUAAGCGGCACAGCGAAAGCGUUAAGUGAUCCACCUGGGGAGUACGCCGGCAACGGUGAAACUCAAAGGAAUUGACGGGGGCCCGCACAAGCGGAGGAACAUGUGGUUUAAUUCGAUGAUACGCGAGGAACCUUACCCGGGUUUGAACGCAUUCGGACCGAGGUGGAAACACCUUUUCUAGCAAUAGCCGUUUGCGAGGUGCUGCAUGGUUGUCGUCAGCUCGUGCCGUGAGGUGUCGGCUUAAGUGCCAUAACGAGCGCAACCCUUGCCACUAGUUACUAACAGGURAWGCUGAGGACUCUGGUGGGACUGCCAGCGUAAGCUGCGAGGAAGGCGGGGAUGACGUCAAAUCAGCACGGCCCUUACAUCCGGGGCGACACACGUGUUACAAUGGCGUGGACAAAGGGAGGCCACCUGGCGACAGGGAGCGAAUCCCCAAACCACGUCUCAGUUCGGAUCGGAGUCUGCAACCCGACUCCGUGAAGCUGGAUUCGCUAGUAAUCGCGCAUCAGCCAUGGCGCGGUGAAUACGUUCCCGGGCCUUGUACACACCGCCCGUCAAGCCAUGGGAGCCGGGGGUACCUGAAGUCCGUAACCGCGAGGAUCGGCCUAGGGUAAAACUGGUGACUGGGGCUAAG
rnacentral:rRNA from 1 species